rnacentral:rRNA from 1 species
AGCUCUAAUAGCGUAUAUUAAAGUUGUUGCAGUUAAAAAGCUCGUAGUUUGAUAUUGGCGUUGGGCGACUGGCCCGGCUUCGGCCGAGAGUUGGUUGGCCGGCGCUUCUGGCACGGGGCGACGGUCGUGCUUAGUUGUGCGCCGGUGGUGCCGUGCCCGAUUACUUUGAGCAAAAUAGAGUGUUCAAAGCAGGCUUGUGCCUGGAUACAUUAGCAUGGAAUAAGCAUAUAGGACUGCGGUUCUAUUUUGUUGGUUUUGCGGACCGGGGUAAUGAUCAAUAGGGACAGCCGGGGGCAUUCGUAUUUACUUGUCAGAGGUGAAAUUCUAAGAUUCAGUUAAGACGAACUUCUGCGAAAGCAUUUGCCAAGAAUGUUU